UAUAAACAGGUGCCCCCUUUACUUGUGAGUGACACACAUUAUCUCCACCAUAGUUAGAAAAAAAAAAAAAAAUUUGUACACCUCACUCAGAAAUUAUAGUACAUCGCACAUGGUGGCUGGUGGUGGAGAAGACUCAUGCGGGUUCGAUGGGGGUGGUCCGCCUUGGAGAAAUUCACUUCAGGGACACCCCCAUUGCUACUGUGGUGAUCUAGCUUAUGUUUGGACUUCUAGUAGUAGAGCAAAUCCUGGUCGUCGAUUCUUCGGAUGUCCACACUAUGAGAACGAUGAAAGUCGAGGAUGUGAUUACUUUUGUUGGAUCGAUAAAUCACAUGGUAAGAGAAGUACAGAUGCUACACCUGGAUUGCGAAACCAAAUCAAGAUUUUCGAAGAAGAUAAGAAACGCAAUGAGAAUGUUAUUAGAAAAUUAAUUUUUAUCAUUUUUAUUUGCCUUCUCAUCAUUGUCCAACUUAUAUUGCGUUGAAGAUAUGGGUUGUCCCAAAAUGCAAAUGUUUUGUAUGUCUUAUGUUCUCAAAA